rnacentral:rRNA from 1 species
CAAUAGCGUAUAUUUAAGUUGUUGCAGUUAAAAAGCUCGUAGUUGGAUUUUGGGUCGGGGGCACCGGUCCGCCGUUCCGGUGUGCACUGGUGGCCCCUUCCUUUCUGCCGGGGACGUGCGUCGCACUUAAUUGGGUGGCGUUCGGAGUCGGCGUUGUUACCUUGAAAAAAUUAGAGUGUUCAAAGCAAGCCAUCGCUCUGAAUACAUUAGCAUGGAAUAACAUGAUAGGACUCCGGUCUUAUUUUGUUGGUUUCCGAGACUGGAGUAAUGAUUAAGAGGGACAGUCGGGGGCAUCCGUAUUUCAUUGUCAGAGGUGAAAUUCUUGGAUUUAUGAAAGACGAACUUCUGCGAAAGCAUUUGCCAAGGAUGUUUUCAUUAA